AUGGGAUUCGACCGCGAUGCAGGCACGAUUGUCCCCUGCUCGUAUCGAGUCGAUCCUCAUCUCAGUCAAGAGAGUCAAAGAAGGCCAGUCACUCACUGUCAAACAAUUUCAGAGAUUGUUGGGUCCGAUGGCAGCUGCGUCCAACGUGAUACCUCUUGGCCUGCUGUACAUGAAACCCCUACAGUGGUGGCUCAAGACCAAGGGAUUUUCCCCGAGGGGCAAUCCACUUCUAACUAUCAAGGUCACGCGGCGCUGCCUCCGUGCCUUAGACAUGUGGAAGAACCUUGGUUUCUUGAAUCAGGGCCCGGUGCUGGGAGCUCCUGGUCACCGUGUAACACUAGCGACGGAUGCAUCCCUCACUGGUUGGGGUGCGGUCAUGAGUGGCCACCCUGCCCGCGGUCUGUGGAGCGGUCGCCAUCCGACAUGGCAUAUCAAUUGUCUAGAAAUGCUAGCAGUUUAUCGUGCACUGAAGCACUUCCUCCCAGACCUAAGGGAUCACCAUGUGUUGGUGCGCACCGACAACACAUCGGUGGUCUCUUACAUCAACCACCAGGGAGGUCUGCGUUCGCGCCCCUUGUACAAGCUGGCGCACCAGAUCCUUGUGUGGUCCCAGGGCAAACUCCUCUCACUCAGAGCAGUAUAUAUUCCUGGGAAACUGAAUGUGGGAGCAGACAUACUGUCGAGGCAGGGGCCGAGGCCCGGGGAAUGGAAGCUUCACCCCGAGGUGGUGGAGCAGAUAUGGAGAAUUUUUGGCAGAGCUCAAGUAGACCUCUUUGCAACUCAGGAGACAGCACAAUGUCCCCUUUGGUUCUCUCUAGUUCAUCCAGCUCCCCUGGGACUGGACGCUAUGGUACAGACCUGGCCGAGGCUUCGUCUGUACGCAUUUCCCCCUAUUGCUCUGCUCCCGGGAGUUCUGGCGAGAGUACGCCGGGACAGGGUCCGUCUAUUGUUAGUAGCCCCGUUCUGGCCGGGCCGAGUAUAACAGCAAAACAAAUAGACAUUUGA
rnacentral:lncRNA from 1 species